AGGAGUCUAACANGACCAACGAGUCUCGGUAGCGCGUGCUACCCGGGCGUUGUGAAAGCAAUCGUCGGCGCGAUGCGGCGUGAAACCCGUAUCGGUCGACGAAUUAAACAAGCGACUGAUGAUCGUCUUCGGACGUCCGCAGUCGCAAAAUAAACCUAAAUAAAUACUAAGCUGUNUUUUGAGUUGCCAUGUUGGCACCCGNAAGAUGAUGAACUAUUCCUAACUAGGGCUGAGUCAGGGGAAACCCUGAUGCAAGCUCGUGAACGAUUCUGACGUGCAAAUCGAUCGUCUGAGUUGGGUAUAGGGGCGAAAGACUAAUCGAACCAUCUAGUAGCUGGUUCCUUUCGAAGUUUCCCCCAGGAUAGCUGGAGCAAACGUACGACCGCAGUUGCAUGUGGUAAAGCAAAUGAUUANAGAGUUUGGGAUCGAAACGAUCUUAACCUAUUCUCAAACUUUCAAUAUGUGUGUUCUAUAAGGCUUUCACACACGAAGCGGUCGCCUUAGGGCGGCUCUAAGCUUUGAAGUCNUNAGUUAAUGUAGCGCUCCAAAGUGGGCCAUUUUUGGUAAGCAGAACUGGCGAUGUGGGAUGAACCAUAAGCNNAGCUACAGUGUCUAAGAACCAUGUUCAUUAGACACCACAAAAGGNGUUAGUANNUAAAGACAGCAGG
rnacentral:rRNA from 1 species